rnacentral:lncRNA from 1 species
CUUUGUUGUCCAGGCUGGAGUGCAGUGGCACGAUCUUGGCUCACUGCAAGCUCCACCUCCUGGGUUCAAGUGAUUCUCCUGCCUCAGCCUCCCAAGUACCUUGGACUACAGGCGCCUGCCACCACGCCCAGCUAACUUUUUGUAGUUUUAGUAGAGAUGGGGUUUCACUGUUAGGAUGGUCUUGAAGACCUCCUGACCUCGUGAUCCACCUGCCUUGGCCUCCCAAAGUGCUGGGAUUACAGGCGUGAGCCACCGCACCUGGCCAAUUUUAAUAUUUUAACUGAAGAUGUUUCAUAUAAUAUUCAGCAAUAUAAAAAUUACUAAUGACUUUUUUGGUAAGAAGCCUUUGAGGUGUGCUGUGUGGUUGACACGUUAUGGCACUUUUCAGGUUGGACUGGCCCCAAUUUACAUACUUAGUGGCUGCAGGUGGCUUCUGACGGCCAUGAGGGACAGCACCCUUCCUUAGACUUCCUCUCACUGAGUGUGAGGCCCCAGAGGACUCGGCUGCUUUCCAUCACUCCCAGGGGAGGGCGGCUGCUGAGACGCAGAGGUGGCGCAGCCACCAGGCUGCCAGAGCCUGAUGUUGAGGGACACGCUGCUUCCGCCAGCUGGUCCCUACAAAGCCGCACCCCUAGAAAGCGACCCAACGCGAGGGCUGCAGGCUUCCUAUUCUCCCAUUAGCACAAAACAAAUGCACACUCAUUCUCCAGUUUCUGCUGGCUAACGCCUUGAUGCCAAUUGUGGUGGCAGCUAGGAGCCAACUAGAACCACCUUCAUGCCCUCCACUGUCCCACUCUCCACUGGGCCCAGCUUCCAGAGAGAUCUUGAAUCAACCGCCCUCAAACCUGUCCUCCUCUCGUCUUCUGUAGUCCAUACUGGCAUAACGGAACUGGGGGUUCCCGUUAGCAGGCUUCGCCCUUUUGAUGGCAGCCCUGGUUAACAGUUCUUUUAGAAUGCAUCGCCAUGCAGAGAAUGUGCCCAUGAUCAAAACUCAGGGUCCCCAUGCUGCAGCACUCAGGAAGCACGUUGGCCACCGGUGAAAAACCCAAGAGGACCCCAGGGUGCUUGACCAGGGACUCCCUGGAGCCCGCCCGUCAGAGCAAAGGGGAAAACGGUGGUCUCUAAGAGGAGUUAACCGGAAGGCGAAGCGAAGGCCCAAAGGGCCCGGCCUCCAGUUCUCCAGCAGUGACCCCAGCAAGCCCCAGGAGACAGUCCUGCAGGCACAAGCCCUGGAGUGUGCUGGGCCUGCUGUGGCCCUGCGUUGGCAUCAGUGCCAGGCAUGCCCAGAAGCAGGGGGUGCGACACAGCACUCCGGGUGGCAGGGAAGGGGCCUCGGCGCCCUGCAUGCCGCUGAGGACUUGUGCGAGUCACUGGACCCUUCAUCUUGGCACCUGUCACUUGCUGGAGAUGGACUCACUUUGCCGUGGUGAACACUGGAGGCAACAGGAGGAAAAAGCGCCAUUCAAAAGAGAAUCAAAUGAAAAAAGUCACCUUGUUUCUAUCUGCCUGUGAUUCAGUCUAAAGAUUAUCAGGUGGUAGAAGAGGAAGACGAGAAACAGACACCUAGGCCCCCAUGGAAGGAUCCCGGCUGCAGCUUCCCUCGAGAG